rnacentral:rRNA from 1 species
AUUGAACGCUGGCGGCAUGCUUUACACAUGCAAGUCGAACGGUAACAGGCCGCAAGGUGCUGACGAGUGGCGAACGGGUGAGUAAUGCAUCGGAACGUGCCCAGUCGUGGGGGAUAACGCAGCGAAAGCUGUGCUAAUACCGCAUACGAUCUAUGGAUGAAAGCGGGGGACCGUAAGGCCUCGCGCGAUUGGAGCGGCCGAUGUCAGAUUAGGUAGUUGGUGGGGUAAAGGCCUACCAAGCCGACGAUCUGUAGCUGGUCUGAGAGGACGACCAGCAACACUGGGACUGGGAAACGGCCCAGACUCCUACGGGAGGCAGCAGUGGGGAAUUUUGGACAAUGGGCGCAAGCCUGAUCCAGCAAUGCCGCGUGCAGGAAGAAGGCCUUCGGGUUGUAAACUGCUUUUGUACGGAACGAAACGGUCUGGGUUAAUACCCUGGGCUAAUGACGGUACCGUAAGAAUAGGCACCGGCUAACUACAUGCCAGCCGCCGCGGUAACAC